UAGAAGAACCCGUGAAAAAGUGCCUCUAGCCACGGCUCGAGGAGAAUAGGGAAAGGGGUGUAAAUCCCCUACGGUGACGCCGCUGUAACGAGUGACGAACGCUCACAUUUACCUAAAGGGUAAAUGUUCCACCACUGCUUUAGACCAUCUAAUGGUCGCUAAAGGCGGGAAGGUUGAGCUUGUAGGAUGAUCUCGAAGCCAGAAGACCUGCUUUUUCAUGCUCAUCACA
rnacentral:ncRNA from 2 species